AUUUUUUCUGUUCACUCUUUCCAAAACUCCUGUUAUCUAGAUAUUAAACCAUGUGAAUUUGUCCUCUGUUUUUUUUUUUUUUUCCUCUUUUAUGUCAUUUGCUCUAUUACUGGGAAAAGCUUCAAUUUUAUCCUCUUAUUAAGUUUCUCAAAAUUUCUGUUUUGUUUCUGAAGGUUCUAAAGCUCUUUUUUCUUCAAAAGUUCUGUUUAUCUAACAUUUUGUUGUUAUUUCAAGGCUGAUGUUGAUUUGUCUUAGUCUGGAUCUUUCACAUUAGGGUUUCCUCACGUGUAAAUCUUGAUCCUAUGCUCAUAAGAAUGAGUAUGUGGCUGAGGCUUUUAAAUACAAAUGACUUUGGUAUAUUGAGCCAUAUUUUUCAAAACUCAUCUAUUAGUUCUAGUAGCUUUUUG
rnacentral:lncRNA from 1 species